UACGAAGGGGGCUAGCGUUGUUCGGAAUUACUGGGCGUAAAGGGCGCGUAGGCGGCUCAUUUAGUCAGACGUGAAAGCCCCGGGCUCAACCUGGGAAUAGCGUUUGAUACUGGUGGGCUUGAGGACCGGAGAGGAUAGUGGAAUUCCCAGUGUAGAGGUGAAAUUCGUAGAUAUUGGGAAGAACACCAGUGGCGAAGGCGGCUAUCUGGACGGUUACUGACGCUGAGGCGCGAAAGCGUGGGGAGCAAACAGG
rnacentral:rRNA from 1 species